rnacentral:snRNA from 1 species
CACGCAGUCUCACUGUUAGUAGA